AGGUGGAAAGAGGGUGAAAAAAUUCCUUGGAGUCCUUAGACAAGGACAGUCAUACCAUUCAUCAGGGUUCCACCCUCAAGACCUAAUUACCUUCCAAAACCACCUAAUAGCAUCACAUUAGGCCCCAACACAAAGCUUCUCCACUCCUAAGAGUGAAAGGGCAAGGGGAGCAAAGGGUAUUAUAGGACCCUCAUUAUGGUCAGAAGAAUUGUGGGAGGGGGUUGCAGACAGGGCUUGUGGUCAUUAGGAAUACAGCCUAAUAAGAGGACCCAAGCAUUUAAACCUUUGCAAUGAGAGAGCCAAGGUGAUGCAGUCCACAGAAAUCAGCUGCUUAGGGCACAGAGAGAGCAGAGAAAGGUGGAGGGGUAUAGAGACCAGCCAGUACUCAUAAUACCUGGGAUACAGUAGUCAAAACUCCAUCCUUAUUAUAGUGUUAAUGUUAUAAACAAAAAUUAGUUGAAUCUGCAUUUUUAUUGUAUUUCUAUACCUGUAAAGAGUUCAUGAGCUAUUGCUGUGAAACAGGAUCUCACAUGAAGAAUAGCAUGGCUUUAAGGUGACAAAGACAUUUAGUAAGCAGUCUCCAUGCUCACUCAGAAAUGUUGGUAAAUACAGUCUGUAACUUUCUGUCUCUUGCUCAUGUGUUUCUAAAACAGCUAUAUGGAGACGUAUUUCAUAUACCAUAUAAUUUACCCAUUUAACGAGUGCAAUUCAAUGGUUUUCAGUAUAUUUACAGAGUUAUACAACCAUGGUCAAAUCUGACUGUAGAUCCUUAUUGUCACCACAAAAUGGAACCUGAUAGAGUUUGGUUGGUUGGUCUGUCCAAAUCUCAUACUGAAAUGUAAUCCCCAGUGUUGGAAGUGAGGCCUGGUGGGAGGUGUUUGGGUCAGGAGGGGGAAAUCUGAUUGUCUGAAAAUGUGUGGCCCUCCCCCCUCACUCUCUUGCUCUGUCUCUUGUUCCUGCUCUAGCCAUGUGACAUGCCAGCUCCCUUUUCACCUUCCACCAUGGUUGUCAGCUUCCUGAGACUCUUGGCAGAAGCUGAGCAGAUGUUGGUACCCUGUUUGUACAGCCUGCAGAACCUUGCUAUGGUAUAAUCACAGAACUGACCAUUCAUCCAGUUAUAUUUUUGCAUAUGCAUGUGUGGUUGGUAUUUUCAAUGACAGUAAAUUGCAUGAGAAGAGAAAUCUCAAAGACAACACCAGGAUGCAAGUCAUUCAGGAUUUAAUAAGUUUUUGUCCUUGAAAUGCUCUCAGAAACAAACAAGCGUGAGUAUAAUUUUCAUACAGUGAGCAUAAUGUUGACUGUAAGCAUCGCGUGAGAAACAGUUGCUGUCUAUUUUGUCCACUGGUAUAUCCUAUGUGUUUACAAUGCUAGCCAGUAGCAGGGGCUCAAUAAAUCUUUGCUCAAUGAAUAGGUUGAUGUCCUGGUUGUGGAUCACAUUCUGAGUCUUUCACUUGCUUUGGAAAGGAUCUGCCAGAGACCGAAGAGGUUACUUUUGUCUUAAAUAACAAAAGCUAUUAAUAUCUCUCACAGUCACAUAUUAUUUAGUUUUCAGUUGCUCCUCACCCAUCCUUGGAGUAAUAUCCAUUACUAUUCCUAGAGAAAUAGUUAUGAAAAAGUUAAAAUACCUUACAAAUACUGAGAGUUGCUUUUCAAGACUUUUCUUAAAAUGUGAUGAAAUCAUAUAGGCAUUGGCAGACAGAUGUCAUUGGCUAUGCUCUGGACUGCAGGUGCUGCUUCUAGUUGCUCUCAGUGGGCCUUCCUCAGCUGAGAGGGCACUGCCCUCAUCCACUCUGGCACAUGCCAUACCUCUGCAAGGCAAAGGCUAGACACUGUGAGCCAGGCGGUCAAGUGGACUUGAAUCUGGCCCCCUCCUUACUCUCCAAUCACAGAUCUCCAUAAAUACUCCAUGCCUUUUUUUCUGUAAACCACUCACCGCGCCUCCCAUUCCCGAAAAACGUUCACUUCUGCAAGGACUUGCUCUGUGUAAGUUCAGAAAACGGGUUCCGUCUCCCUUGUCACUUCCUUUACUCUCAACUGCUGUUUCCAUGGAGUUUUGUUUCUGACUUCUCCCUGCCCCGUGGCCCAGCCUUCUGGAGGAGAAUGAGGAAGUGAACCUGAUGGGGUACUGUGAUGGUUAAUUGUAUUUGUCAACUUGACUGGGCCAUGGGGUGCCCAGAUAGCUGCUGAAACAUUAUUUCUGGAUGUGUCUGUGAGAGUGUUUCUGCAAGAGACUCACAUUUGCAUUGGUGGACUGAGUGAAGUAGAUGGCCCUCUCCAUUGUGGGUGGGCCUCAUCCAAUCUGUUGAGAGCCUGAGUAGAACAAAAAGAAGAAGGAAGGUUGAAUUUAUUCUCUGCCUGAUCUCUUGAGCUGGGGCAUGUUUUCUUCCCCCAGAGUUCCUGGUUAUCAG
ensembl:lncRNA